UACAUGCAAGUCGAGCGAACGGACGAGAAGCUUGCUUCUCUGAUGUUAGCGGCGGACGGGUGAGUAACACGUGGAUAACCUACCUAUAAGACUGGGAUAACUUCGGGAAACCGGAGCUAAUACCGGAUAAUAUUUUGAACCGCAUGGUUCAAAAGUGAAAGACGGUCUUGCUGUCACUUAUAGAUGGAUCCGCGCUGCAUUAGCUAGUUGGUAAGGUAACGGCUUACCAAGGCAACGAUGCAUAGCCGACCUGAGAGGGUGAUCGGCCACACUGGAACUGAGACACGGUCCAGACUCCUACGGGAGGCAGCAGUAGGGAAUCUUCCGCAAUGGGCGAAAGCCUGACGGAGCAACGCCGCGUGAGUGAUGAAGGUCUUCGGAUCGUAAAGCUCUGUUAUUAGGGAAGAACAUAUGUGUAAGUAACUGUGCACAUCUUGACGGUACCUAAUCAGAAAGCCACGGCUAACUACGUGCCAGCAGCCGCGGUAAUACGUAGGUGGCAAGCGUUAUCCGGAAUUAUUGGGCGUAAAGCGCGCGUAGGCGGUUUUUUAAGUCUGAUGUGAAAGCCCACGGCUCAACCGUGGAGGGUCAUUGGAUAUUGGAAUACUUGAGUGCAGAAGAGGAAAGUGGUAUUCCAUGUGUAGCGGUGAU
rnacentral:rRNA from 1 species